AUUUUUGGCAUUGACUAUAGCCCUAUGAUUCCCUUGACUCCAGAGCGAGACUGAAACUCGCAUUGGUGACAGCGAGAUGGAAAAUAGAUUAUAUAAUAACUACAGUGAAACACGCAAUUUGAUUGGUCAAUAGCUGCGGCUCGAGUAUUUUUACGCUGUUUCCGAAAGUCUUGCGACAUCCCUCGUGCAUGGAUCACGCAAUCCUGCACGGAAAACCAUUCGGUAUUCCUUUAUUCCGUUCAUUACUAAUUUAUUUAUUAAUGUUGCCCAUACAUACACAAAUCUUGAACUGUCUAAUUUACCAGUGUAGUUAGUGCCAAUAAAAUGAACAAUAUGCCUGACCACGGUGGGAAUCGAACCUACGACCUUUGGAAUACUAGCCCAAUGCUCUGCCAACUGAGCUACGCGGUCAGGUCGGUUCGAGUAUGUGAUAUUUCGGAACUGAGUCUAGUUCCUUCGAUAUCAAAUGCAAUCUAGUAAUCAUGAUUUUUUUCUGUGUUGGUGUAAUGUACUCAGGUGCGAGCUCAGGUGAAUAUGAUGCUUGUGAUGUUACUCUGAGUAUAUAUCCACUCAGAGUAACAUUUCAAGCAUCAUAUUCACCUGAGUACAUUACACCAACACAGAAAAAAAAUGAACAAGCUUUCGUUGGUAGGGAUACAACUACCUGAAAAUAUUCGAGGAGAAUUUCGACGUCGAAAUUCUCCUUAUAUUUUCAGGUAGUAAUUGCAUCCCUGCCAACGAAAGCUUGUUCAUAUACAUACAUAUUAUUUUAUAAAACAUAAGUAUAUAGAGUUACAAGAAUAGGGCUAGGGAUCUACUAAAAACCAUAGAAGGCUUUGAUUAUAAGACCCCUGUAGUUUACGUAUGAAUCGGAACUUAAGGUAUAUAGUAUAGUGUGUUUUGUUGAUGUGAAUCAUAGGCCUACUAACUGUUAUCUUCGUCAGUCUAUAACUAACAACUGUUUUUGGAAGUUUACCUUGUUGGGUAUAUGUACCUGUUGUAAACUUGCCUCGUUGUACAUGUAAUAUAUAUAUUUUGUACAAUGAAAGCUUAAAAUAAAAUAAAAUAAAAAUAAAAUAGUUCGAAAAAAGAAGAUAGGAGUAAGUUGUUAAGUUUUGUUAUACGAUAUUUCGAAUCAUGACGAAGAUAUAUACAAUAGGAAAGGAAAGUUAAAAGAGAAAUAAUAGAAGAUUUAUUGAAAAGUGGGAAGAAUGUUUAAAAGUUCCGGUAUUAUAAAAGGAACAAUUUUGACUGGUUGACUAUUAUCCAUGGAGCCGCAUAAGUCGAUCUUUCGCCUUGAUUUCCUCAAUCCUUGAGUCCACAACAUAAUCUGAAUUAUAAAAUACAACGGCUUAUGACACCUGUUUCAAAGGUACCGCUAACAACAGGUCAUGCCAUGUUUGAAGCAGAUUAGAACGGCCAGCGAUCGGGGGUCCAUUUAUAGUUCAAUGUUGCUAAAAUUAAUUAUUUACAUUGCGGGCAGAUAAUCAUAGAGAUUUCCAUUUGCAAACAUGCAAAGCGCAGCUUAUCUUGCGAAAUAAGCUUAGACUGCGUUGCGCAAAUAAACUAACGCGUUUAAAAAACAUUUAGUAUAAACAUGAUGUUGACAUAAAUCGCGCACGUAUUAACAUAAAUCACGGUGUUUCCGCACAUUAAUAUAAGUCGCAGUAUUCAUAUUAACAUAAAUCGCGAUAUACAUCUUUUCCUAUUUGCAUGAACUGCGAUCAAUCUCUGUAUAUUAACAUAAAUCGCGCUUUUCCUCCUCACAUUUACAUGCACAAAUCCCGCUAUCUCCCCAAAUUACAUAAAUCCACGCAUGUGUUUCCGUAGAGAAAAUAGACUUCUCUGCAUGGUUUGUUCGAUCUUUCUUGGUAAAAUUUUCGUUGAACGUUUUCGUUUCAUAUUUUCUUUCUUGUGCCAAAAGAAUAUCAUGCAUUGCAGUUUUAAAACAGCAAGUUCAUUUACUCUUUAUUGCCUGAUACCGUAAAAUUUUGGCGUUUGAAGCGCGCGCGCGCUCCAGUGUGAUGACUGGUGUAUCACAAGAUUCCAAUCUGACCAAGAUUCCAAUCCAACUGUACACAAACUAUUUCAAAUUAGAAUUACCUUAAGAACUGAAAGAGUUAUCCAUUAUACAAAAUAACAGUAACUCAAAUCUCCGUGCCACCGAUCCUGUAAUUAUUAUCCAUUAUACAUAGUUAAUUUAGUUUGGGUUUCCUCCUGUAAACCCAAAGCCCAGCACAG
rnacentral:tRNA from 1 species